rnacentral:lncRNA from 1 species
GCAAUUGACUUCCUGAUGAUCUUUGCAUUUUCAUCAGAGCAGCAGACUCUGGCCGACAUCCCUUCCUAUCGACCAGAUGUACUUCAUGAUUAUGGUGAAAAGGUACUGAGGAACAAGAAACUUAUUACCUAAGAGAUGACAAAAUGGAGGCUCAGAGAAAUCAAAUAUAUUGCCAAAGGAAAUGCAGCUAGGAAAUGACACAGCCUGCAUUUGAAUUGAAGAAGUUGAUGUCCCCUCAGUGACGUCCCCACCCAAAUGGAAAGAAGCCACCUUCCCUGUGUCCUGCACAAGGCAGAAUUGUCUUUGUUCACAGAGUGGUACAUAAUUCAGAACCUCAUUCGGGAGCAGGAAGGGGGAGAGCCCAGAGUGAAAGAGAAGAGGCCGGUGGAGAUGGCAGCGUCCCAGAGGGGAGAUGGCCAUCUCCUGAGAAAAAAACAGUUUCACCAGGGCCCCGGCUCGGGCCAUCUGCGCUGUGUUUGCUUUGGACAGCGCAGGCGAAGAGGGCUCAGGGUUAGUCUCUCCCCAGAGAUGGUGAGAGCGACCCGGGCGAACCCCCAACCAGCGCGCUGCCUGCUGCCUGUCGCUGAGCCCUGCCAUUUCCGGAAACUUUAUAGAAGAAGUCCCAGCUCUCUCCUACGGGGCCGCCACCCUGUCCAGGCCGGCUCCUCUUGA